rnacentral:rRNA from 1 species
UACGUAGGGGGCAAGCGUUGUCCGGAAUCAUUGGGCGUAAAGAGCGUGUAGGCGGCUCGGUAAGUCCGCUGUAAAAGUCCAGGGCUCAACCCUGGAAAGCCGGUGGAAACUGUCGAGCUAGAGUCCGGAAGAGGCGAGUGGAAUUCCUGGUGUAGCGGUGAAAUGCGCAGAUAUCAGGAGGAACACCAAUGGCGAAGGCAGCUCGCUGGGACGAUACUGACGCUGAGACGCGAAAGCGUGGGGAGCGAACAGG